AGAGCGAACGCUGGCGGCAGGCCUAACACAUGCAAGUCGAGCGCCCCGCAAGGGGAGCGGCAGACGGGAGAGUAACACGUGGGAACGUACCCUUUGGUUCGGAACAACACAGGGAAACUUGUGCUAAUACCGGAUAAGCCCUUACGGGGAAAGAUUUAUUGCCAAAGGAUCGGCCCGCGUCUGAUUAGCUUGUUGGUGAGGUAACGGCUCACCAAGGCUACGAUCAGUAGCUGGUCUGAGAGGAUGAUCAGCCUCACUGGGACUGAGACACGGCCCAGACUCCUACGGGAGGCAGCAGUGGGGAAUAUUGGACAAUGGGCGCAAGCCUGAUCCAGCCAUGCCGCGUGGAUGAUGAAGGCCCUAGGGUUGUAAAGUCCUUUCGACGGGGAAGAUAAUGACGGUACCCGUAGAAGAAGCCCCGGCUAACGUUCGCGCCAGCAGCCGC
rnacentral:rRNA from 1 species